AUUUUAUUUUUAGGAUAAUAGAGAUUUAGAGGUGGGGAUGUAAGUUUUAGUUUUAAGAUUGAAAUUGGAAAUUGUGAGAAGGAAAAAUUUUUUUUUUUGUAGAGGUUUUUGAGUUGUUAGGAUGUAAGUUUAGAGUUAAUAAGAUUUUGUGUGGAUAUUUGUAUUUGAAGAUAAUAAAAGAUGGAAAAAGAAUAAGUUUUA
rnacentral:misc_RNA from 1 species